rnacentral:rRNA from 1 species
CCUACGGGUGGCAGCAGUGAGGAAUAUUGGUCAAUGGACGAGAGUCUGAACCAGCCAAGUAGCGUGAAGGAUGACUGCCCUAUGGGUUGUAAACUUCUUUUAUAUGGGAAUAAAACGUUCCACGUGUGGGAUUUUGUAUGUACCAUAUGAAUAAGGAUCGGCUAACUCCGUGCCAGCAGCCGCGGUAAUACGUAGGUUCCGAGCGUUAUCCGGAUUUAUUGGGUUUAAAGGGUGCGUAGGUGGGUUGUUAAGUCAGUUGUGAAAGUUUGGGGCUCAACCGUAAAAUUGCAGUUGAAACUGGCAGUCUUGAGUACAGUAGAGGUGGGCGGAAUUCGUGGUGUAGCGGUGAAAUGCUUAGAUAUCACGAAGAACUCCGAUUGCGAAGGCAGUUCACUGGACUGCAACUGACACUGAGGCUCGAAAGUGUGGGUAUCAAACAGGAUUAGAUACCCCGGUAGUC